AAAGUACUCCCUCCGUCCCAAAAUUCUUGUCUUAGAUUUGUCUAGAUACGGAUGUAUCAAGUCACAUUUUAGUAUUAGAUACAUCCGUAUCUAGACAAAUGUAAGAGAAGAAUUUUGGGACAAAGGGAGUAGUUG
rnacentral:pre_miRNA from 1 species